ACUCACCUCUGUUUUUCAUUUUUAAGUUUCUGGCACUUGUGUGACAAACAAAUCCUAGCAAGGUGUUUCCAAGCCUGGAGGAGAUACAUCCUUUGGAAGAGGGCAGCCACACAGCUCUACAGACACCAGCUGCUUCAGAAGGGCUUUGGUGCUCUGCAGGGGAUUGUGCACCAAAGGAGGACACAAUUGGAGGUGGCCCAGCAGAGACAUGCUUCAGCUCUGCUAGCUGCCAGCUUCCAGAGGUGGAAGGAAGCUAUGGCAAAACAGAGCCAGAAGAAAGCUCUGCAGCCUGAGCCUUACUCCUACACUCAAAGUUCAUCAGUGGGGAGUUUUGGAGUAGGAAGAUUGGCCACUAUGACAACCCCAGCUCAGCAUCAGCUUCCAACAGGAUACUCAAAGGAAGUGGAGCAGGCUCAUAGGAUGGAGGCAGGGCUGUGGACACAGCUUCGUCACAGGCACAGAGGAGAUGAGUUCUGCUGGGGAGUUGAAGCAAUCAGAGACAUGAGGAGGCUGGCUGCUUUCAGACUGUGGCGCCUGCAGAAGGAGCUGCUGAGCAAAGAGGAAGCCAGGCUUUUGGAAGCCCGUGCUCUGCUGGAGAAGAAAAAGCUACAAAACAUUUUCUGGAUGUGGCAUUCCCAAAGCUUGGAAAUGAAAAAGAUUCUAACACUGACAACUCGAAUCCAAAGAAACUUGGUCUCCCGGUGCUUCAGUACAUGGAAGGAGACUGUUGAGCAGAAGGCACUUCACAGGUGCAAUCUGGCCCAUCUCAGAGCAGUAUCACUGAGGAGGCACUUCCAGCAGUGGGUUGGGAUGCUGCAGGUCAGAAGAAGUGAUAAGCAGGCAGUGCUGAACCUCUUCCUCCUGCAGUGGAGGCAGCAUUAUGGUGAGCAGUUUGGGCUCUGUGCAGAAUCUAAACUUGAGAUGUGCUUAGGCUCCUUCCUCCUCUUGCACACUGAAAACAGAGGGGCUCAGAUGAUACAGGGUGUGAACAAACCAGGGUGGGCAGAGGACUGGUUCUGGGUGUGUCAGUGAAGCUACAGGGAGGUGUGUUGCUCUGCAUCAUAAACCAAACAUAAACUCUUAAACCUUGCUGAAAAGAAGCAAUUUGAGGGUUGGGCUGGGCUGAGUUGGAAUGCCUUCAGACAAUCUCUUGUUCCUUUAUGUAACUGGUUAAGGAGCAGUUGUGGGCUCAGCAGCUGACAAGAAUGUGACAAAGAGGCAUGAAUGUCAGAUAUGGACGGGAGAGAAACAGUUUCUGGAGAAAACUGUGUGUUCUUUUGAUGACUUCUGCCAAAAACUGAAGCUGCAGAGAGUAUAUCUGCUGUGGAAAACAAGGCUCUGUGAGCAUCACAAGGCUGAGUGAGUGCAGAAGAGCCAGUCCCUGGAGCCCUGCCCCCAUUAGUAGUGUCCACUUGAUUUUCUGAACCUUUUGCUAGAGCCCCUUUUACCCUGUCUAUUGUCCAUCAUGUCUGUGCUAGUCACCCCCUCUGGUGUUCUUCUUUCACUUCACUGUCUCAGUAUCUUCUGUCUCAGCUCUUUCUCUCAGACUUUGGAGCAGUGUAAACUCAGAAAAACUCUGAAAUUAUGGCACCAAAAGUAUCUCAUGCUGAAGACAAUUGAACAAAGUUCUAAGCACUUGCACAGAGCUGUCUAUGAGGAACCUCUUGCCAUGCUGUUUUCUGAGGACCUCUCAACAUCAUCUGGCUUUGACAGCAGUGCACCAGCUACUCUGACCUCUCAGAGCUCAUUGGAAAAGGUGAGAAGGUCUUGGUACUCCUAGAGUGCUCUGGGGUAUUAAAUUGCUGGGAUUU
rnacentral:lncRNA from 1 species